rnacentral:rRNA from 1 species
AUUGAACGCUGGCGGCAGGCCUAACACAUGCAAGUCGAACGGUAACAGGAAACAGCUUGCUGUUUCGCUGACGAGUGGCGGACGGGUGAGUAAUGUCUGGGAAACUGCCUGAUGGAGGGGGAUAACUACUGGAAACGGUAGCUAAUAUCGCAUAACGUCGCAAGACCAAAGAGGGGGACCCUCGGGCCUCUUGCCAUCGGAUGUGCCCAGAUGGGAUUAGCUUGUUGGUGGGGUAACGGCUCACCAAGGCGACGAUCCCUAGCUGGUCUGAGAGGAUGACCAGCCACACUGGAACUGAGACACGGUCCAGACUCCUACGGGAGGCAGCAGUGGGGAAUAUUGCACAAUGGGCGCAAGCCUGAUGCAGCCAUGCCGCGUGUAUGAAGAAGGCCUUCGGGUUGUAAAGUACUUUCAGCGGGGAGGAAGGGAGUAAAGUUAAUACCUUUGCUCAUUGACGUUACCCGCAGAAGAAGCACUGGCUAACUCCGUG